rnacentral:rRNA from 1 species
CCUACGGGUGGCAGCAGUCGAGAAUCAUUCACAAUGGGGGAAACCCUGAUGGUGCGACGCCGCGUGGGUGAAUGAAGGUCUUCGGAUUGUAAACCCCUGUCAUGUGGGAGCAAAUUAAAAAGAUAGUACCACAAGAGGAAGAGACGGCUAACUCUGUACCAGCAGCCGCGGGAAUACAGAGGUCUCAAGCGUUGUUCGGAAUCACUGGGCGUAAAGCGUGCGUAGGCUGUUUCGUAAGGCGUGUGUGAAAGGCGCGGGCUCAACCCGCGGACGGCACAUGAUACUGCGAGACUAGAGUAAUGGAGGGGGAACCGGAAUUCUCGGUGUAGCAGUGAAAUGCGUAGAUAUCGAGAGGAACACUCGUGGCGAAGGCGGGUUCCUGGACAUUAACUGACGUUGAGGCACGAAGGCCAGGGGAGCGAAAGGGAUUAGAUACCCCAGUAGUC